rnacentral:rRNA from 1 species
AUGCAUGAAAGAGAUCGAAUCAGAUAUGAUUACCUAGAUCAAAAAAUUUGGCAAAGUGAUGUGUUAUGUAAAAACAUGUUAAGCUUUGAAAGAGCUGCGUUCUUUCGCUUGUGUGGCAUACUCAGGGAUCGCAAAUUGCUAGAAGACAGUCCACAUCUUAGCGUGGAGCAACAAUUAGCGAUGUUUUGCAUACAAUUGGGCAUAACCUUCGGAAUAGGGUUAUUUCAGCCAAUUUUUGUUGAUCAUAUUGCACAACCAGCAUCUAUUUUAGAAAGGUUCUCCAUGCCAUAG